AAUGAACGCUGGCGGCAUGCCUAACACAUGCAAGUCGAACGAGACCUUCGGGUCUAGUGGCGCACGGGUGCGUAACGCGUGGGAACCUGCCCUUAGGUUCGGAAUAACUCCCCGAAAGGGGUGCUAAUACCGGAUAAUGUCUUCGGACCAAAGAUUUAUCGCCUUUGGAUGGGCCCGCGUUGGAUUAGCUAGUUGGUAGGGUAAAAGCCUACCAAGGCGACGAUCCAUAGCUGGUCUGAGAGGAUGAUCAGCCACACUGGGACUGAGACACGGCCCAGACUCCUACGGGAAGCAGCAGUGGGGAAUAUUGGACAAUGGGCGAAAGCCUGAUCCAGCAAUGCCGCGUGAGUGAUGAAGGCCUUAGGGUUGUAAAGCUCUUUUACCCGGGAUGAUAAUGACAGUACCGGGAGAAUAAGCUCCGGCUAACUCCGUG
rnacentral:rRNA from 1 species